CUCCAGGCCCUAGUUGCCUAGGUUUUCCCCUUACCUGGAUGUAUCACCAGUGAAGUCUGCAAAACAGCAAAGAUGGCAGCCUGCCCCUUCCUCUAGGAGCUCUGUCCCAGGAGUGGAAUGUGGAGGUUUGAGAAGCAUCUACAGUUUGAAGCACAAUAUCAGCAAUAUUAUCAGCAGAAAAACAUCAACAGGAUUGUGAGAUGAAGUAUUUGUCUGCAAUCUGUAAUGCCUCAAGCCUUGCUACUCUUUCAAGCGUAGCCCUUGGACUAGCAGCACUGAUGUUACCAGAAGUUUUGAGAAAUUCAGCAUCCCCAGUUCUACCUCAGACCUACCAUAUUAGAAUUUGCAUCUUUAAUAAGAUUCCCAGGAAACAUAAUCACUGGUGCACCAUACGUCCCUCCUUGAGUGACCUUGAUGACACAGUGCAGAAACAUCUGUCAUUUGUAGCCGGAUCUGUUUGCUAUUGUAAUUUUACAAACUGCCAAUAAGCCUCGAGGGCCUGGAACCAGAGCUGUCUUGAGAUGAAUGUGACCUAUGAGAAGCAGGCUUUUCCAGGAGAUGACAACGACGCUUUAAAAAACGUCACCAGCCCUUGAAUGUUCCACAGAGUCCCUUGAAAAGGUAGUGAUACACAUGCCUAAUACUGAUGUUCAGAAUACCUCAACAUCGGAGUGUACUGAGACAUGCAAACGUAUCCUGAGUGUGUUAAACGGAGAAAUAACAUUGAACAUUUGCUAUAAGUCAAACAUUUUAUAAACACAAUCACUUAUUUUUAACAAUGAUCCUGUGAAGCAGGUACUAUUUAAUAACUCCAUUUUAUGAGAAAAAGGGUCUCAUAGAGAUUAAGAAAUCUGCCUAAGGUCACAUUUGUUUGGAUGCCUGAACGAUUACAUCAUUACAUCAGAAAAGAGUUUCUGUUCCCCCCAGUUCCCUACCCUACAGCCAAUCAGUAACCCACCAGUGCCAGGGUGGGGAUUCAAACUGAGAUACCUUUAAUGCCAACAGUCC
rnacentral:lncRNA from 10 species